UACGUAGGGUGCGAGCGUUGUCCGGAAUUAUUGGGCGUAAAGAGCUCGUAGGCGGCCUGUCGCGUCGGAUGUGAAAGCCCGGGGCUUAACCCCGGGUCUGCAUUCGAUACGGGCAGGCUAGAGUGUGGUAGGGGAGAUCGGAAUUCCUGGUGUAGCGGCGAAAUGCGCAGAUAUCAGGAGGAACACCGGUGGCGAAGGCGGAUCUCUGGGCCAUUACUGACGCUGAGGAGCGAAAGCGUGGGGAGCGAACAGG
rnacentral:rRNA from 1 species